UGGGUAACCUGCCUCAAAGAGGGGAAUAGCCUCCCGAAAGGGAGAUUAAUACCGCAUAAUAUGUUUAAGUCGCAUGACUUUAACAUCAAAGGAUUUUCUUUUAGAAAUUCCACUUUGAGAUGGACCCGCGGCGCAUUAGCUAGUUGGUGAGGUAACGGCUCACCAAGGCAACGAUGCGUAGCCGACCUGAGAGGGUNAUCGGCCACAUUGGGACUGAGACACGGUCCAGACUCCGUAGGAG
rnacentral:rRNA from 1 species